CCUGCCACACCUCUGUGUGGGGUGCAUCCAGGCAGAGAUCCUGUGGUGAGCAGGUGGCCAGAGCCACAAGGGCUGGGGAGAUGGCUCUGUGGUAAAGUCCCUGCUGUCCAAGCGCCAGAACCUGAGUCCAGGUCACCAAUAUCCACAGAAAAGUUGGCUAUGGAAGAUACCAUGCCUGUGACCCUGUCACUGGGGAGGAAGAAACAAGAGGCUCCCUGGGGCUUGUUGUCCAGCCAGUGAGGUUUAGGUUCAGUGAGAGACAAUGACUCAAGAAAAUCAGAGGCAUAGCUCCUCACUUCACACAGAAGCAGCAGUAGUAACCUCUGGUACACAUCCAAGGUGCCACAUGUGCCUGUGACCUGUGGCUUAUGGCAUGGGUGGCUUUGAAUGCAGGCCAAACACAGAACUCAUAAACGUAUUUAAAACAUUA
rnacentral:lncRNA from 1 species